rnacentral:rRNA from 1 species
AGAGUUGUAUCCUGGCUCAGGAUGAACGCUGGCGGUAUGCCUAACACAUGCAAGUCGUACGAGAGUCUUUAACUCUAGUGGCGGACGGGUGAGUAACACGUGAGAAUUUGCCUUUAGGAGGGGGAUAACAAUUGGAAACGAAUGCUAAUACCCCAUAUGCUUUCGAGUGAAAUGGAUUUAUAUUUAUCCGCCUAGAGAGAAGCUCGCGGCUGAUUAGCUUGUUGGUAAGGUAAGAGCUUACCAAGGCGACGAUCAGUAUCUGGUUUGAGAGGACGAUCAGACACACUGGAACUGAGACACGGUCCAGACUCCUACGGGAGGCAGCAGUGGGGAAUUUUCCGCAAUGGGCGAAAGCCUGACGGAGCAAUACCGCGUGAGGGAAGACUGCCUAUGGGUUGUAAACCUCUUUUUUCAGGGAGGAAUCAAUGACGUGUACCUGAAGAAUAAGCAUCGGCUAACUCCGUGCCAGCAGCCGCGGUAAGACGGAGGAUGCAAGUGUUAUCCGGAAUCACUGGGCGUAAAGCGUCUGUAGGUGGUUUAAUAAGUCAACUGUUAAAUCUUGAGGCUCAACUUCAAAAUCGCAGUCGAAACUAUUAGACUAGAGUAUAGUAGAGGUAAAGGGAAUUUCCAGUGGAGCGGUGAAAUGCGUAGAUAUUGGAAAGAACACCGAUGGCGAAAGCACUUUACUGGGCUAUUACUAACACUCAGAGA